AAUAGAUACCCGGGUAGUCCCAGCCGUAAACGAUGCUCGCUAGGUGUCAGGCAUGGCGCGACCGUGUCUGGUGCCGCAGGGAAGCCGUGAAGCGAGCCACCUGGGAAGUACGGCCGCAAGGCUGAAACUUAAAGGAAUUGGCGGGGGAGCACAACAACGGGUGGAGCCUGCGGUUUAAUUGGACUCAACGCCGGACAACUCACCGGGGGCGACAGCAAUAUGUAGGCCAAGCUGAAGACUUUGCCUGAAUCGCUGAGAGGAGGUGCAUGGCCGUCGCCAGUUCGUACUGUGAAGCAUCCUGUUAAGUCAGGCAACGAGCGAGACCCGUGCCCACUGUUACCAGCAUGUCCUCCGGGACGAUGGGUACUCUGUGGGGACCGCCGAUGUUAAAUCGGAGGAAGGUGCGGGCCACGGUAGGUCAGUAUGCCCCGAAUCUCCCGGGCUACACGCGGGCUACAAUGGAUGGGACAAUGGGUCCCGUCCCCUGAAAAGGGCUGGUAAUCUCACAAACCCAUUCGUAGUUCGGAUCGAGGGCUGUAACUCCG
rnacentral:rRNA from 1 species